AUUCAUGACAUUAUUUUAUUCUCUUUCAUAGCCUAUACAGCUCAGUGACAAUUGAAGGAAACAUACAAGUUUGAGCAAGCACAUGUACUAAACACAACUUUGACUUGUCACAGAGACACACCUACAGUGUUAUAAUCUGGUACAUACAAAGCUGUAACCCAAGACUGUAGGUACCCAAAUACACAAUAUCCUGUUUGUAAAGGAAAACCUUUCCUACUUGUUUUAUUAAUUAAGAUAUCAAAAUAACUAUUCUGUUAAUAUUUCUUCAGUAAUAGCAUUUUACCAGCCAGGUCUACUGUAUUGAGAAUUAUGAAAAACUUGCAAGUGAAAAUGCAAACCAAAAUAGACAUUAAAAUGAAACACCGAUUCUAAUGUCAAAGUUACUGUACAACAAAAUUUCAAGAUGAAAAUGAUGCUUGAAGUAUCCUUUAAAGAAAACUUUGAAAAAAACCUGUCUACGAACUCAAAAAGAAACAACCAAAUCUUGUUUAACCUGACUCUGCGACACUGUCAGCUUCACCACUGUAGGAUGGGGCACAACAUGCUCCUGUAUUUAUAAGGCUAAUGACUAAAUCAUGACAAUAGCUGUCACUUUGUACUAGUGUUACAUUAGUACAACAUUGUCAUGUUUAUAUCACAGAUUCAUAUAUUUAACAGGGUUACACCAAUAUCACACUUCUAUCUGAUCACAAGUCUGAUGCUUACAAGACCACCACAUCCAAGCCUAAGGUGCCUGAAGAUUUUCUUUCAAGUGUGCAGACAAUUAUUCAUUAUCCAACAUUUCUUUUCCUGCUCGAAUAAAUUGUUUCCAUUUAGACAAUUAUCAUGUGAUAUUUGGACAUAUUAUCAUACUCUGAGAAUCUCAUUUAAUUUUAGAUGGAUGGUUGAAGAUUUUUUGUGUGCAUUUAGUAUAUAUCAUUAUUAACAUCCAAUUUCCGAGCAAAAAUACAGAAAAAUGGUAUUGUAAAAUGUAAUUUUUUUUGUAAGAAACUAUCCAAUUUCCAAGCAAAAAUACAGAAAUAUGUAUUGUAAAAUGUAAAAUUUUUCAUAAGAAACUUUUGGAGCAAGUUUUAUUUUUCUUACAUGAUAAAUUCUGAUCUAUCUGGCAAUAAUUUACUUCUACCUGACAUGGAUUAAAGAUUGUAUGCCAUAUCAUGAUGAAUACGAUGUAACUGCUAAGACAUUCAAUUAACUGCUAUUGCCAUAAUAACACAGUAAAGAGCAUCUCAAAUGGUAACAGAAAAUUGUCUCAAACCUAUUUAAGGUUACUUUGAAUCAGUGAUAUCACAAUAAAGUUCUCUUUUGAGUUGAUGUAGAUACAAUUUUUCACUGUAUAAGACGGAACAACAUUAGACCUGUUAAAAACCAUCACUUCUUUUCUAUAUUAACUUUUUUGCAUUUCAAUUAUGGCACUAUAAAUUGUGCUCAAGAAUAAAGCUAAUAAUAUACCCAUGUCACAGGGUAUCAAAUUAGGGUCCCUUUCAAUAAUACAAUGUGUUUCACAUAAAGAAACCCUCAAAGCAAAAUAUGGACACCAAUAUUGACUCAUAAGAUUUCGAUUAUUCUCUGAUCCAUCCAUCAUAUAUAUAAUGUAUAAUAUUGUUUAAACUAGUAUAUUGUAUCACAGUCUCAUAAUAAUAUCUAAUACUGCCGUUCAAACCCUAUCUGGGGAUGACGAAAAUACUUGUCAAUGACUACUUUGACAAGUGUUGAUUGUAUUGAUGUACCAACACAAACAGUAAAUCUGAAUCCCCCCUUGUGUUGCAGUGGCCGUGAUUGGCUGUACUUGAAGCAGGCGGAGUUUUAAUUAAAAUUUUGACAACACCAGAAUAUGUAACAAAUUCGGCACAUGAUUUUGUAUUCACACAUGUCCAUAAUGAUAAAAAUAAUGACAGAAAUAGGGAUUUGGAAUAUCCAGUGGAACAAUAAGAUUAAAAGCAUAUAUCCUGUUUGUGGUUCAGCCGAUUGAGUUCAGAUUGCAGGUAGAUCUGUCUUUACCCCAAUGUGAAUACCACGAAUACCUGUUGGCCAUGUUGUUUUCAGAUUAGUUUCAAAAUGCAAUAUACAUUACUAGGGACCAAGAGGAACCUACAUAUGAAAUUUCAGAAAGAUCCCUUCAGUACUUUCUGAGAAAUAGCGAUAAUAAGAAUUGUUUAUGGACGUACGGAUGGACUGACCUCAGACGCAGGGCGAUUUGAAUAGCCCACCAUCUGAUGAUAGUGAUGGGCUAAAAAUGGACUCCUUAGUAAAUCAUUCGCAGUUGAAAAGGGUUAUAGCGUCAGUUUCCUAACAUAAGAUGGCCAAAUGGGCGAAAGAAAUCCCAUUAAUUCUGCUUAGGAAGCGACAUGUAAAGCAGAUGCGACCUGUUCAUGUAAGCCAUGACUUUCUUGAUGAUGCACAUAUUCUGAGGCAUUGCCUGUCAGUGUGUAUUGACAGACGAGGCAAAUAAAAAUGCACAAUUAGCUCUACCAGUUGUUUACACAUGUUAUUUGGUACAAUGCUUGAAAUAAAUGUCACCUUUUCUUAAUUCUGAAUUGACUCCGAGUUAUCAAAAUGUUUAAGAACUGUGUUCCUGUUUACAAAAUGGCUACCUUGUUUUCAAACUAGCCAUGCGAUAGUAUCAGUGCUAUAUUUGAUGGGUUUCCCGACUAAAUCAUGUGGUCAAGCUGGACACUGGAAAUUGAUAUGAAUAUCGUGAUAGCAUAGAAACGUAACAAUGUAUUAUAGUCGACCCAAAAUCCCCAGUAAGGCAGUCAAAGUUCCGGUAAUGAAUUUUUCAGGAAACGACAAAAAAUGUCACAUGGUCUGUAUGUCUGUGAGUGUCAGGACCAUAAGAUAAUGAACAUAAAUAUGAUAAUGAAAUGCUAUAUCAUGGGACUGGCUUGCUUCUUGCUCUGUUAGUUAUCUAGCUGAUAGUCUAAAUAUAGAUACAAUAUUGACAGUGUAUUCGGUGUGGAAGAUUAAGUGCUUCAA